rnacentral:rRNA from 1 species
CAGCAGCCGCGGUAAUACGUAGGUCCCGAGCGUUGUCCGGAUUUAUUGGGCGUAAAGCGAGCGCAGGCGGUUAGAUAAGUCUGAAGUUAAAGGCUGUGGCUUAACCAUAGUACGCUUUGGAAACUGUUUAACUUGAGUGCAAGAGGGGAGAGUGGAAUUCCACGUGUAGCGGUGAAAUGCGUAGAUAUAUGGAGGAACACCGGUGGCGAAAGCGGCUCUCUGGCUUGUAACUGACGCUGAGGCUCGAAAGCGUGGGGAGCAAACAGGAUUAGAUACCCCUGUAGUCCCUGUCUCUUAUACA